UAAUCCUGGUCGGACAUCAGGAGGUUAGUGCAAUGGCAUAAGCUAGCUUGACUGCGAGCGUGACGGAGCGAGCAGGUGCGAAAGCAGGUCAUAGUGAUCCGGUGGUUCUGACUGGAAGGGCCAUCGCUCAACGGAUAAAAGGUACUCCGGGGAUAACAGGCUGAUACCGACCAAGAGUUCAUAUCGACGGCGGUGUUUGUCACCUCGAUGUCGGCUCAUCACAUACUCUGG
rnacentral:rRNA from 1 species